rnacentral:rRNA from 1 species
AUUGAACGCUGGCGGCAUGCCUUACACAUGCAAGUCGAACGGUAACAGGUCUUCGGAUGCUGACGAGUGGCGAACGGGUGAGUAAUACAUCGGAACGUGCCUAGUAGUGGGGGAUAACUACUCGAAAGAGUGGCUAAUACCGCAUGAGAUCUACGGAUGAAAGCAGGGGAUCGCAAGGCCUUGUGCUACUAGAGCGGCCGAUGGCAGAUUAGGUAGUUGGUGGGAUAAAAGCUUACCAAGCCGACGAUCUGUAGCUGGUCUGAGAGGACGAUCAGCCACACUGGGACUGAGACACGGCCCAGACUCCUACGGGAGGCAGCAGUGGGGAAUUUUGGGCAAUGGGCGCAAGCCUGAUCCAGCAAUGCCGCGUGCAGGAUGAAGGCCUUCGGGUUGUAAACUGCUUUUGUACGGAACGAAAAGCCCUGGGUUAAUACCCUGGGGUCAUGACGGUACCGUAAGAAUAAGCACCGGCUAACUACGUGCCAGCCGCCGCCGUAA